rnacentral:rRNA from 1 species
AUUGAACGCUGGCGGCAGGCCUAACACAUGCAAGUCGAACGGUAACAGGAAGCUUCUUCCUUCUUUCAUCAGCAGAGGCGGGCGUAUUAGCUAUGUAUCUGCCACUGCGUGGUGGAUGAGGUUCGCUAAUGGGCACUGUUGCCACUACCGCCUAACGUCGCAAGACCAAAGAUGUGCACCUUCCAGGCUCUUGCCUUAGCCUGUGCCCAGGUGGGUUUUGCUAGUUGGUGGGGUAACGGCUCACCAAGGCGACGAUCCGUAACUGGUCUGAGAGGAUGACCAGUCACACUGGAACUGAGACACGGUCCAGACUCCUACGGGAGGCAGCAGUGGGGAAUAUUGGACAAUGGGCGCAAGCCUGAUGCAGCCAUGCCGCGUGUAUGAAGAAGGUCUUCGGAUUGUAAAGUACUUUAAGUGGGGAGGAAGGGAAGUAAGUUAAUACCUUGCUGUAUUGACGUUACCAACAGAAGAAGCACCGGCUAACUUCGUG